rnacentral:lncRNA from 1 species
AAAAAAGGUCUCUGCUGCCUUGAUACUAUUCUCUACUGGAGAAUUUAAAUUUUGUAUUAUACAUUGCAGUUGGUGUUUAGGUAAACAAGAAUGCUUUUUAUUUGCAUGUCCUUUGUUUAAAGAAUUAGUAUUGGUGUAAAAUGGCUUGUUCUUUAUUCUAAAAAUAGGCAAUAGUUUUAAUGUUAAUUUUUAGACAUUAUUUUUUAAAAUUUAUAUUUAUGUCCACAUCGGAAGAGAGUACUCAAGCAUAUACCGGCAGGUAAGCAACUUAGGAAGUAUUUCUUAUAAAUAAAUAUGUUGAAAACUUAAGAAUGAGAAAGUUGAUAAUUCACAAACAAUUAUUCCAUAUUUUCUGAGUGAUCACAAUUGAUAAAGUACUUUGCCAAACCCAAUAUUAAUAUUUCCCAUUCUAGAAACAACUAUUUAUUAUUUAAUAAAGAUUACUGAUCUUUAUUCAGCUGACUAAAUUUUUAUUGAUUGCCCCGUCUUAUGAUAUGUAGGUUAAUUAAUAAUAAAAUCUAUUAAGAGA